rnacentral:rRNA from 1 species
UACGUAGGGUGCGAGCGUUAAUCGGAAUUACUGGGCGUAAAGAGCGCGCAGGCGGUCGUAUAAGUCGCGUGUGAAAGCCCCCGGCUCAACUGGGGAGGGUCACGCGAUACUGUUCGACUCGAAGGCAGGAGAGGGAAGUGGAAUUCCCGGUGUAGUGGUGAAAUGCGUAGAUAUCGGGAGGAACACCAGUGGCGAAGGCGACUUCCUGGCCUGUUCUUGACGCUGAGGCGCGAAAGCUAGGGUAGCAAACGGG